rnacentral:rRNA from 1 species
GAUGAACGCUGGCGGCGUGCCUAAUACAUGCAAGUCGAGCGAAGAGAGGAGGAGCUUUCUCCUCUGACGUGAGCGCCGAGUGGGGGUGUAACAUGGGGAUAACUUAGCUAUUGGACUGGGAUAACUUCGGGAAACCGGGGCUACGGCCGGAGAAUUGAUUGAACCAGAUGGUUCAUGAGUUAAUGCACGCUCUGCUGUGCCUGAUAGUAGGUACCGGGCUGCGUUGGCUAGUUGGUAAGGGAACGGCCUACCAAGGCAACUAUGCGAUGCCGCCCAGAGAGGUUGAUCGGCCACACGGGAACUGAGACACGGUCCAGACGCUGACGGGAGGCAGCAGUAGGGAAUGUUCCGCAAUGGGUGAAAGCCUGACGGAGCCACGCCGCGUGAGUGAUGAAGGUCUUCGGAUCGUAAACCUCUGUUAUUAGGGACGAACAAAUGUGUAAGUAGCUAUGCACGUCUUGACGGUACCUACACAGAAAGCAACGGCUAACUACGUG